rnacentral:lncRNA from 1 species
CUCACAUUUGUUUUUUGCUGUUGAUCCAAAACAAGGCAAAAAAAACCCAGUUUGAAGCACAAUUUUGCAACAAGCUAGGAAAAAAAUUCCUUCUUGACCCCAGAAUGGCAGUCAGAUUUAUCCUUGGAUCAAGCAGUUACAACCCUACAUUGAAAGAUUAUAUCCUUGAAUAUUCUGUUUUUGCAAGUAUGCAUCUAGUAGCUGUUUGAACAUCUGUAUGGACUCUGAUAAAACCACUUCUUCAGGCAGAGAAUUCC